AAGAUCUGACUGAAAGGGGAGCUGAAGAGUAGUUGGAUUCGGUGGCCGAAAGAUGGCUGAGUUCGGCGGCCGAAGGAUGGUUUCAGUUUGCGAUGGGAGCUGAGGUACAGGGUCCGGCGGCCGAAAGAUGGUGGAGUUCGGCGGCCGAAAAGUCAUGGCUUCAGUUUGCGCAAGUCCUUCCUGAAGUGGUGCGACAGAGCUCUCUUCAGUCUGUGCUUGGCUGCAGUUCACCUGUUGGAUGCAACAGUCAGUUUCUUUCAAUUCUGGCUCUUUCUGAGUCUCUUCCCUGCAAAGAUCAUCAUUUAGUAUAUCAUCUUGAUUUACAUAAAAAACAUUUUCACUCAAACAAUCAAUGAUAUCUAAAUUAUCAACAGGUUCUGUUUGAUCAGUUUGUUUGGACAAACAGUUUUCUG
rnacentral:lncRNA from 1 species